CAGUAGCCGCGGGAAUACAGAGGGUGCGAGCGUUAAUCGGAUUUACUGGGCGUAAAGCGUGCGUAGGCGGCUAAUUGAGUCGGAUGUGAAAUCCCCGAGCUUAACUUGGGAAUUGCAUUCGAUACUGGUUAGCUAGAGUGUGGGAGAGGAUGGUAGAAUUCCAGGUGUAGCGGUGAAAUGCGUAGAGAUCUGGAGGAAUACCGAUGGCGAAGGCAGCCAUCUGGCCUAACACUGACGCUGAGGUACGAAAGCAUGGGGAGCAAACAGGAUUAGAGACCCGCGUAGUCCCUGUCUCUUAUAA
rnacentral:rRNA from 1 species